CACGUAGGGCGCAAGCGUUGUCCGGAAUUAUUGGGCGUAAAGAGCUCGUAGGCGGUCUGUUGCGUCCGCUGUGAAAACCCGGGGCUUAACCCCUGGCUUGCAGUGGAUACGGACAGACUAGAGGUAGGUAGGGGAGAAUGGAAUUCCCGGUGUAGCGGUGAAAUGCGCAGAUAUCGGAAGGAACACCAGUGGCGAAAGCGGCUUCCUGGUCCAGCAUCGACGUUCAGGCACGAAAGCGUGGGGAGCAAACAGG
rnacentral:rRNA from 1 species